rnacentral:misc_RNA from 1 species
UUUGGUGAUAAGUACGGUAGAGGAAACUGCCUUUACUAUGCAAAGGGGUCGAUGUAUUUUAACGAUGAAGACAGUGACGAUGAUUUUGGUAUGUGUGGUUGUUGUUGUCCUCUUGAUGAUGAUGUUGUUGGUGGUGAUGAGAUUAGCUACCCUAUUAGCAAUUAUGGUGACAGCACCAGUAUUAGCAAUGGUGAUCACAGGAUUAAUGCUUCUACUAGCAAAUCAGGUGAAGUAGUGGUAGAUAGAUACAAAGGAGUAUUUGAUGAUAACACCUAUGUAUUUACCAUAGAAGAUGGUAAACUUGGAUCGCUGUUAUCAUCCCUUGAUUAUGCAGAAAUUUUAUGGCCACCACCAUCUUGGCUUAACGGUGAGGAUGAGCCUCAUCCACAUGAUCAUGAAAUUGCAGAGUCGUUAUUAUCUAUACAUAAACAAGGAUGAUACAGCAAG